UGAGUAAUGUCUGGGAAACUGCCUGAUGGAGGGGGAUAACUACUGGAAACGGUAGCUAAUACCGCAUAACGUCGCAAGACCAAAGUGGGGGACCUUCGGGCCUCAUGCCAUCAGAUGUGCCCAGAUGGGAUUAGCUAGUAGGUGAGGUAAUGGCUCACCUAGGCGACGAUCCCUAGCUGGUCUGAGAGGAUGACCAGCCACACUGGAACUGAGACAUGGUCCAGACUCCUACGGGAGGCAGCAGUGGGGAAUAUUGCACAAUGGGCGCAAGCCUGAUGCAGCCAUGCCGCGUGUAUGAAGAAAGCCUUCGGGUUGUAAAGUACUUUCAGCGAGGAGGAAGGCAUUAAGUUAAUAACCUUAGUGAUUGACGUUACUCGCAGUAGAAGCACCGGCUAACUCCGUGCCAGCAGCCGCGGUAAUACGGAGGUGCAAGCGUUAAUUGGAUUACUGGGCGUAAAGCGCCACGCAGCGUCUGUCAGUCGAUGUGAAUCCCCGGG
rnacentral:rRNA from 1 species